GCUUACGGCCAUACUACCUUAGGCACGCCCGAUCUCGUCUGAUUUCGGAAGCUAAGCAGGGUGGGGCCUGGUUAGUACUUGGAUGGGUGACCGCCUGGGAAUACCAGGUGCUGUAAGAC
rnacentral:rRNA from 10 species